CAGUCGCCACGGGAAUACGAAGGGGGCUAGCGUUGUUCGGAAUUACUGGGCGUAAAGCGCGCGCAGGCGGUUCUCCAAGUCAGUGGUGAAAGCCCGGAGCUCAACUCCGGAACUGCCAUUGAAACUGUUGAACUUGAGGACGAGAGAGGUGAGUGGAAUUCCCAGUGUAGAGGUGAAAUUCGUAGAUAUUGGGAAGAACACCGGUGGCGAAGGCGGCUCACUGGCUCGUAUCUGACGCUCAGGCGCGAUAGCGUGGGGAUCAAACAGGAUUAGAUACCCCUGUAGUCCCUGUCUCUUAUAC
rnacentral:rRNA from 1 species